rnacentral:rRNA from 1 species
AGGCUUACCUGGUUAAUACCCAGGAUAAGUGGACGUUACUCGCAGAAUAAGCACCGGCUAACUCUGUGCCAGCAGCCGCGGUAAUACAGAGGGUGCAAGCGUUAAUCGGAUUUACUGGGCGUAAAGCGCGCGUAGGCGGCCAAUUAAGUCAAAUGUGAAAUCCCCGAGCUUAACUUGGGAAUUGCAUUCGAUACUGUUUGGCUAGAGUGUGGGAGAGGAUGGUAGAAUUCCAGGUGUAGCGGUGAAAUGCGUAGAGAUCUGGAGGAAUACCGAUGGCGAAGGCAGCCAUCUGGCCUAACACUGACGCUGAGGUGCGAAAGCAUGGGGAGCAAACAGGAUUAGAUACCCUGGUAGUCCAUGCCGUAAACGAUGUCUACUAGCCGUUGGGGCCUUUGAGGCUUUAGUGGCGCAGCUAACGCGAUAAGUAGACCGCCUGGGGAGUACGGUCGCAAGACUAAAACUCAAAUGAAUUGACGGGGGCCCGCACAAGCGGUGGAGCAUGUGGUUUAAUUCGAUGCAACGCGAAGAACCUUACCUGGCCUUGACAUAGUAGAAACUUUCCAGAGAUGGAUUGGUGCCUUCGGGAAUCUACAUACAGGUGCUGCAUGGCUGUCGUCAGCUCGUGUCGUGAGAUGUUGGGUUAAGUCCCGCAACGAGCGCAACCCUUUUCCUUACUUGCCAGCAUUUCGGAUGGGAACUUUAAGGAUACUGCCAGUGACAAACUGGAGGAAGGCGGGGACGACGUCAAGUCAUCAUGGCCCUUACGGCCAGGGCUACACACGUGCUACAAUGGUCGGUACAAAGGGUUGCUACCUAGCGAUAGGAUGCUAAUCUCAAAAAGCCGAUCGUAGUCCGGAUUGGAGUCUGCAACUCGACUCCAUGAAGUCGGAAUCGCUAGUAAUCGCGGAUCAGAAUGCCGCGGUGAAUACGUUCCCGGGCCUUGUACACACCGCCCGUCACACCAUGGGAGUUUGUUGCACCAGAAGUAGCUAGCCUAACUGCAAAGAGGGCGGUUACCACGGUGUGGCCGAUGACUGGGGUGAAGUCGUAACAAGGUAGCCGUAGGGGAACCUGCGGCUG